UAUAAAUUAAAAAAAAUUAUAGUCCAUAUGCAUUUAGGCCUAAUGGCCAGAUAUGUCUCAGCAUAGAAACAUAAGCUCAGGAUCUAAACAAAUAAACCUAAGUGCUAAGCCAAACAGAGCCCAAGUUAAAAUUGAAUCAAAUCGAAAAUCCUAGCUGAGUCGAGUCAAGUGCUGGAAAACAAAAUCCAAGGAAACACUAGAGCAACAAUGCUGCACACUUGCACCAGACGUCUUCCACCAGGCGGGAGAUCAAAUCACUUCGAAGCAUAGUAUCGGAGUUCUGCAUGGCUCAAUCGUCAUGAUCAAAGAAACCCCCAACACACGGCACUCUAAGAUUUGACAAAAACACUUAAGCUCCAAAAUCCAAUAGCAAGUUGAUAAGAUCAUGAAGGCCAAGCAUAGGAGGACUCAUUGGGGCAGACCAUGGAGGACUAGCUAUCAUGACCUUGUGAUCUAUCUUCCUCAAAAACCACCAGACGAAGCACAACUCAGAACCAAUACUAGAAAGAUUUGGGAAAUGAGGCAGGGUCAUCAGCUUCAAAUGUGUCUCUAUCGACAUACCUCAAAAAUACCUUCCUCUCCAUAGCCUUAUCAAGCAAUAUAUAUAUAUAUAACAAAUUAAAAGAAAACUCUCUUGAAGAUCGAUCUACUAACCCAAAAAAUUAUAUUUAUAGCCCACCUGGCAAUGGAGAGAGCUAACCCACUAGCAAGCAGAGAAGGCAAGAGCCUCCCCACCCAAUGGGGCAAGGGAGGCCGCUUGAACAACAGUAACAAAUAGAAACUAAACUUUCAGAAAAUAACUCAAAAUCCACAGAGAAAUUUCUCUCUAAAAGUCAGAGAGAGAGAGAGAGAGAGA
rnacentral:misc_RNA from 1 species